rnacentral:piRNA from 1 species
UGAGAGGAUGGAGGGUUGAAUGCCAA